CUUUUGGGCAGAACUCCUAUUUAUGCAGAUAUUACUGACCCUGGACCACAGUUGUAACUCUAUCCUGCCUAGAGAAUCCUGCCAGGCUCAGCAGCAUGUCUGCCAGGACACUCACCCCUCUUUCCAGGAUCUACCUCCUGGGGCUGCUCCUCUUCAUUCUCCCAGGUUCCUGGGCCCAGGUUCGGCUAGUAGAGACAGGAGGAAGAGUGACGACUGAGGGCCAGUCUGUGACCCUGACCUGCAGGGCCUCUGGCUUUAACUUCAAGGACUAUGCCAUGUCUUGGCAUUGGAGCCCAACUGAUAGCCACAAGGAGCUCGUGGCCAGCAUCAGCCCCAAAACUGGAAGUAACAAAGAGUACAGCCCCAAAUUUCAGGGCAGAGCUUCCAUCACCAGGAACAAUGAGGCCCAAACUGUCUCCUUGACCUUGCGCCAGCUGCGAAAGGGGGACUCAGGGUGCCAAGUACUCACACCUUUUGGGACCAGAAUGCCAGUGCUGAUUCCUGGGAAAACAAUAAGUGACUGGGAGCAGGUAGAAUUCAGGCUGAAGUCCUGCUGUGAGAGAAGUACUCUGUGCCAUGCACCUGGCUGGGAUUGGUUCAACUGUGGGGAUAAGCAGAAAAAGCAAGCCCAGGUUCCAUUCAGGGGACCUCACAGCCUGGGGAGGCAGAAGAACUAA